AAACUGCAUUUUGGAAGUUCAAACUCGCAGGCACCAAAGUCCACUAUAUAGAGGUACUAUGAAGAGCUACUAUAAAAAUCCUGAAAUGUUUUCCUCAAAAAACAUAAUUUCUUUAUGACUGAAAAAAGAAAGACAUGAACAUUGUGGAUGACAAGAGGGUGAGUAAAUUAUUUGUAAAUUUUUGUUCUGGAAGUGAACUUCUCCUUUAUGUCCAGAACCACCUCGACUCCAACACAGAAUAUGAAAGGUGCCAGAGAGAAGCCUGCAGUUUUGGAUCUGGUGUAAUUAUUCCUUCAGUAAAGGUAGAGUAUUAACCCAGGAGCUGAAGGUGGACGUGGACUUUCCUGGAGAUGAUUUUCUACAGAUUUACUCCCCAGACGUCCAGCACUGUCAGCUCGCCUGCACACAACACCCUUCCUGCUUAUUCU